UGGAGAGUGUGGUGCGCUACC
rnacentral:misc_RNA from 1 species